GCCUCGGUAGCUCAGCUGGAUAGAGCGCUCCCCUCCUAAGGGAGAAGUCGCAGGUUCGAAUCCUGCUCGGGGCGCCA
rnacentral:tRNA from 1 species